GCAUUGACGAAAGUUGACGAGCACGCCGCGUGAGUGAUGAAGUUUUCGAUCGUAAACUCUGUGUAGGGAGACAGUACCGUCGAUAGGGCGGCACCUGACGGUACCUAACCAGAAAGCCACGGCUAACUACGUGCCAGCAGCCGCGGUAAUACGUAGGUGGCAAGCGUGUCCGGAAUUAUUGGGCGUAAAGCGCGCGCAGGCGGUUUCUUAAGUCUGAUGUGAAAGCCCCCGGCUCAACCGGGGAGGGUCAUUGGAAACUGGGGAACUUGAGUGCAGAAGAGGAGAGUGGAAUUCCACGUGUAGCGGUGAAAUGCGUAGAGAUGUGGAGGAACACCAGUGGCGAAGGCGACUCUCUGGUCUGUAACUGACGCUGAGGCGCGAAAGCGUGGGGAGCGAACAGGAUUAGAUACCCUGGUAGUCCACGCCGUAAACGAUGAGUGCUAAGUGUUAGAGGGUUUCCGCCCUUUAGUGCUGCAGCAAACGCAUUAAGCACUCCGCCUGGGGAGUACGGUCGCAAGACUGAAACUCAAAGGAAUUGACGGGGGCCCGCACAAGCGGUGGAGCAUGUGGUUUAAUUCGAAGCAACGCGAAGAACCUUACCAGGUCUUGACAUCCUCUGACAACCCUAGAGAUAGGGCUUCCCCUUCGGGGGCAGAGUGACAGGUGGUGCAUGGUUGUCGUCAGCUCGUGUCGUGAGAUGUUGGGUUAAGUCCCGCAACGAGCGCAACCCUUGAUCUUAGUUGCCAGCAUUCAGUUGGGCACUCUAAGGUGACUGCCGGUGACAAACCGGAGGAAGGUGGGGAUGACGUCAAAUCAUCAUGCCCCUUAUGACCUGGGCUACACACGUGCUACAAUGGGCAGAACAAAGGGCAGCGAAGCCGCGAGGCUAAGCCAAUCCCACAAAUCUGUUCUCAGUUCGGAUCGCAGUCUGCAACUCGACUGCGUGAAGCUGGAAUCGCUAGUAAUCGCGGAUCAGCAUGCCGCGGUGAAUACGUUCCCGGGCCUUGUACACACCGCCCGUCACACCACGAGAGUUUGUAACACCCGAAGUCGGUGAGGUAACCUUUGGAGCCAGCCGCCGAAGUGACAGGGA
rnacentral:rRNA from 1 species